CAGUCCUCCGGGCGUGCGGCACGGAUAUGGAACGAGGCCAUUUUCGGCGGCGUUUUCCCCUGCGGCCCCCUCGGCUGACAAGUCCCCGGGCCUAGGCAAACGCUUUGGUGCUGGUGGUGGGAAGAAGUUCUGUGGGAAGAUCCCAGCCGGUUGCACUCUCUAAUCAAGUGCCACAGGAAUUUCUAGUAAGCAAUAUCUAUUUGGAGUUCAGUUUUACAUAUGCGAGUCCCAAAGAUAAAUCCAAACAAAAAUGUUAUUUGUUUGGAGGAACUCCAAUGAGUGUAUGAAGCCAUCUUUAUUAAAAAGACACUUGGAAACAAAGCACACCAGCUUGGUUGGAAAAUGGAUUGAAUCCUUUGAACGGCAGCUUGAAAGUUUCAAAUGUCAGAAGGAGGUGUUUACUCAUAGCAUUAAAGACAGUGAAAGUGCUCUGAAGGCCUCAUAUAUCUGAUAUCUCUCAGAAUUGCAAAAUGCAAUAAAGCACAUACAAUUGGAGAAUCUUUGAUUAUACAUGCAGUAGCGAAUAUUUGUAAAGUACUGUUAGGCAACAAGCAAGUGGAUAAAGUUAAAAAGAUGCCUGUUUUGGACAAUACUGUUUCUCGAAGAAUUAGAGAAAUGGCAGAGGAUGUGGAGGUGCAACUGCUUGAGAGAUUGAAAACAGUCUCUGCAUAUGCUCUUCAGGUUGAUGAAUCUACAGACAUAGGAAAUCGGACUGAGCUGUUACUAUUUGUUUGCUAUAUAUGGGAAAGGAAGUUUGGUUGAAAGCUUUUUUUUGUUGUCUUGAACUGCCAACAUGAACAACAAGAGAGGAUAUUUUUUUUAAGUCCUUAAUCAGUACAUAAGUACAAAUGGCCUUUCAUGGGACAUCUAUGUCAGUAUUUGCACAGAUGUUGCAAGGGCUAUAACUGGCAGUAGAAAUGGUCUGAUAGUGAGAAUACAACAGGUAGCACCAAAUGUUGUUUCAACUCACUGUAUCUUGCACAGAGAAGCACUAGCAUUGAAAAAACUGGGCCCUGACCUGAAUGAUGUUUCACUUGCUGUUGUAAAAAUCAUGAAUUUAAUUAAAGCCAGACCUCUGAACUUGUGAGUUUUUGCUGCUCUGUGUAAUGAAAUGGGUGCUGAAUACCACAGCCUCCUUAUACAUUCUGAAGUUUGCUGGCUUUCCCAUGGAUCUGUAUUGAGGAGAGUGUUUGAUCUGCGAGCGGAGUUGACUCUAUUUUUGUCGGAGCAGAAUUCUUCAUUUGUUGAUUAUUUCAAAGACCCCAAAUGGAAUGUUAAGCUAGCUUACUUGGCAGACUUAUUUGAUGAACUAAACAGGCUCAACAGAAGCAUGCAGGAACCAAACACUAAUGUAAUAGAUCUCUUUGAGAAAAUCAAAGGAUUCAUAGCAAAAGCACAACGGUGGAAUGAACGAGUGGAAAUGGGAAUAACGACAGUGUUCCUCUGCCUAACAGACUUAAAUGAUGGAGCAUCAGAAGCCACUGACAUUUCAGAGGUAAUCUGUAGCCAUCUAAGAGGGCUUGUUGCUCAGUUUAACAGGUAUUUUGGUGAAAUGGAAAAGUCACUACAAAUCGACCGGGACUGGAUCAGGGAUCCAUUUUCAAGUGAUACCAACAAAGAAAUGCUUCACAGUCUGAAUGUUCAUGAAGACAAACUGAUCGAACUGAGCAAAGACAGCUUUCUACGUCAGAAGUAUCAGGGUUGUGAACAAAACAUCUCAAGUUUUUGGUUGGAAAUUGAAACUGAAUAUCCAGAGCUUACUGGGAAAGCAGUGAAAGUUGUGCUGCCAUUUGCACAUACCUAUUUAUGCUAGUCAGGAUUUUCUGCACUGGCUGCUAUUAAAACAAAACGCAGAGCAAAAUUGGACAUGAAGGACAAGAUGAGUUUCUUUCUGAUAUUGCUCCAAGGAUAGAUGAGAUGUGCAAGACCCACCAGGCCCAAGUGUCCCACUGAAAUUACUUUUGGCUUAUUUUUGGAUAUUUUGGAUAUUUUUCAUUGAAUUUUUAUUUUUAAAGUUUUUAGUUUUAAGAUAAUUAUUAUUUUAAUGAUGAAGGUUUUAAGUUACAAAUACUGAUAGAGACUUUUGGGGGCUGAUACCGAUCUGAUAUCCAAUACAGCUGCCAUCAGGUGGUAAGUCUAGUGUGGUGGAAGGGGUGAUGGUGGGUAGUGGUGUGGGGGGGGAGGGAGGGGGGGGGACAGAUUGCCCCCUGGGAGGGGGCAGAGGCAGGUGCUGCCCAGCAGGGGGGUGGAGAAGGUGCAGGAUGGAGGCUUGUCUGGUGGGGUGGAGGCAGCUCCUGCCACUGCUUGCACCCUGGGAGGGGAGGGGUGGGAGGGUGUGUGCCCCUGGAUCUGCAUGGCACACAGUGGGCUGCAGCCAGGGCUGCGUGGGGUCUUCUUGGAUGGGGCUGGGCUUGGAGCAGGGUUCCAGCAGUGCUGGGAGGAGGAUGCAGUCACCCCAAACUUCGGCUCCCAGCCCCGCAGCCCUGGGUGAAUGCCCCACCUCCACCUAAGCACUGGGAAAAGCCAAAGCUGUGGUGGGUGGUGGUGCGGGACUGGGAGUAGAGCUGUGGUGAAUUUGGGGUGGCUGCAGCCUCCUCCCAGUGCUGCCGAGCCUGCUCCAAAUCCAGCCUCCAGCAAGUAAAGCCCCAUGCAGCUCCGGCUCUACCCCACAGCCGCUGCCCACCCCAUGGUGCACAGAUCUGGGGGCACAUGCACCCCCGACCCUGUCCUCCCAGGGUGCAAGCAGUGGCAGGAGCUGCUCCCACCCCAUGAGUCACACCUCUGUCCUGUGCCGCCGCCGC